GGACGUGUGGCCCAAUGGCAAGGCGCUUGACUACGAUUAUCAAAAGCGGUAUCAAGAGAUUCCAGGUUCGACCCCUGGCACGUUCA